rnacentral:lncRNA from 1 species
GCUGCAUUUACAUUUCUGGUAAAGAAUACUUGUGGAAUAGGGAAGAGACUGUCUGUUGGAUUGGGUUGAAUAUUUAUGGUCGUGGAAGUUUUUGAUAAGAAGCGUCCAAAGUUCAUAAAGGAGGAGCCUAUAAGGAGUCUUUAACAGCGUGGGAAAACACAGGAUUGGAAAGGGACUCAAAGCAGCCAGAGGAUAUUUUUCACACAUUGUUUCAAAGGGUGGCACUGGAGACUCUGUUUUUGGCGUCUCAUCAAAGUUGAAUAUAGCACUGUCGGCAAAAGACAGCACAAUGGGACACAACCCCUCCCACACGUCCUCAUCUGCCCCCCUCAUCCAGAGACGGGUGAGAGUGUCGCUUUGUUUUCUGUGCAUGUAAAGGAGGAAGGUGAAACCUGCUGCUAUUUGUUUACAAUGCAAAUCAAGACGUGACGUGCGCCACAUUUUAACUUUAGUAACAAUUUUAGUCAAACAAGUAUCGUAAAUAUCAUUUACACACGUGUCAAACCUAAGACCCGGGGGCUAAAUCCGGUCCUUUAGAUCAUCAAAUUUGGCACUCAGGAUAGAUUCGAAAUGACAAAACAUUAAUUAUUGUGUAAAAAUUCUCAAUAAUUCAUCUGUAGAUAUCUCAACCCUUUCAAAUACAUAAAUUCAAUGAAUAUCCACAAUAUUUGCGGGGAUGCACACUUUUCCCAUGCUUUUAUCAUGUAAUGAUAGUCAAUUGUGCCAAAAAUAAUAAUGC